AGUGAACGCUGGCGGCGUGCUUAACACAUGCAAGUCGAACGAGAACGGGUUAUAGCUAGCUAUAAUUGUCAGCUAAGUGGCGCACGGGUGAGUAAUGUAUAGGUAAUAUGCCUCUUACUAAGGGAUAACAAAUGGAAACGUUUGCUAAUACCUUAUACUACUUAUUAACAUAAGUUAAUAAGGGAAAGAUUUAUUGGUAAGAGAUUAGCCUGUAUUGUAUCAGUUAGUUGGUGGGGUAAUGGCUUACCAAGACUAUGACACAUAACUGGUUUGAGAGGAUGAUCAGUCACACUGGAACUGAGACACGGUCCAGACUCCUACGGGAGGCAGCAGUGGGGAAUAUUGCACAAUGGACGAAAGUCUGAUGCAGCAACGCCGCGUGGAGGAUGACACAUUUCGGUGCGUAAACUCCUUUUAUAUGAGAAGAUAAUGACGGUAUUAUAUGAAUAAGCACCGGCUAACUCCGUGCCAGCAGCCGCCGUAAUAC
rnacentral:rRNA from 1 species